rnacentral:rRNA from 1 species
CAGGAGCUGAAGAGCUCCCGGCGCCACAGGAUGCGGCUGCGGCCGAUUAGGUAGACGGUGGGGUAGCGGCCCACCCGUGCCGAUAAUCGGUACGGGUCAUAAGAGUAGAGCCCGGAGACGGGAUCUGAGACAAGAUCCCGGGCCCUACGGGGCGCAGCAGGCGCGAAACCUUUACAAUGCACGCAAGUGCGAUAAGGGGAUCCCGAGUGCGAGGGCAUACAGUCCUCGCUUUUCUGUACUGUAGGGUGGUACAUGAAUAAGGGCUGGGCAAGACCGGUGCCAGCCGCCGCGGUAAUACCGGCAGCCCAAGUGAUGGCCAAUUUUAUUGGGCCUAAAGCGUCCGUAGCCGGCCGGGCAAGUCCAUCGGGAAAUCCGCGCGCUUAACGUGUGGACGUCCGGUGGAAACUGUUCGGCUUGGGGCCGGAGGACCCGAGGGGUACGUCUGGGGUAGGAGUGAAAUCCUGUAAUCCUGGACGGACCGCCGGUGGCGAAAGCGCCUCGGGAAGACGGACCCGACGGUGAGGGACGAAAGCUAGGGUCUCGAACCGGAUUAGAUACCCGGGUAGUCCUAGCCGUAAACGAUGCCCACUCGGUGUGGCACUGGCUACGAGCCAGUGCUGUGCCCUAGGGAAGCCGUGAAGUGGGCCGCCUGGGAAGUACGCCUGCAAGGGUGAAAUUAAAG